CGCUCAGUAGUUGGUGUAGAUCCUGUGAUUUUAGUCAGCAGCUACAUCUGGCUACUGGGUCUC
rnacentral:pre_miRNA from 1 species